rnacentral:rRNA from 1 species
UACGUAGGGUGCGAGCGUUGUCCGGAAUUAUUGGGCGUAAAGGGCUCGUAGGCGGUUUGUCGCGUCGGGAGUGAAAACCCCGGGCUUAACUCGGUGCUUGCUUUCGAUACGGGCAGACUAGAGGCAUGCAGGGGAGAACGGAAUUCCUGGUGUAGCGGUGAAAUGCGCAGAUAUCAGGAGGAACACCGGUGGCGAAGGCGGUUCUCUGGGCAUGUCCUGACGCUGAGGAGCGAAAGUGUGGGGAGCGAACAGG